CUUGAAAAUUUGUAUUCUUGAGAAAUUUAAAGAUGGCAGAACAGAGUAGCAGUAGUAACAGAGUCCAGAAAUGGUCCCUUCAUGGGAAAACAGCUCUAGUUACUGGUGGAACCAGAGGUAUUGGGAGUGCAAUAGUGGAGGAAUUGGCAGGAUUUGGAGCAAGUGUUCAUACAUGUUCAAGAAAUAAGAAAGAGCUUGAUGACAAGAUUCAAGAAUGGGAAGCAAAAGGAUUUAAG
rnacentral:misc_RNA from 1 species